rnacentral:tRNA from 1 species
UGGAUCACCUCCUAACAGGGAGACAAACAAUGAUUUUGAUGCCUGAGUACUUUUAUUCUUAUGCCCAAAUCCUGUCACCUUAGGUCGAUCGAUACCUCAUCUUUGAAGUUAAAAGUGAACUGGAAACAGUGAGCUGCUUAAUGGAGAUUCUUAGUUCCUAAACUUUGUCUAGGUCACACCCCACAAGGGAUGAGACUCCUGGGCCAUUAGCUCAGGUGGUUAGAGCGCACCCCUGAUAAGGGUGAGGUCCCUGGUUCAAGUCCAGGAUGGCCCAUUCAGGGUUGGGGGUUUAGCUCAGUUGAUAUAGCGCCUGCUUUGCAAGUGGGAUGUCAGGAGUUCGAGUCUCCUAACCUCCACUGACCGAUCUCAAUCCUCAAUGUCCAGUCAUGGAGUUUUGAGUUCAGUUGGAGUGUGAUUUAGAUGUGUCCGCUAGAGGAACCCAGCUUCCUGUCAUUCCGGCGAUAGAGAGAAAUCUAUCGAUGGUUGAUAAGAUGCUGGGCUCGAAUCAGGUGAUCAAGCAAUUGAUGAUUUGAUUUGAAGUCUGGUGAAACCUUGACAACUGCAUAGGUGAGUCUGGAAGGAAUAAAGCAUCUCAUGGAUGAUGCGAUGACUCUGAAUGAUGACCCCAUAGGGUGAUGAUGAGGAAUGAUUGCCCAUUCUAUCGAGCGAGAUCCGAGACUCCAUCGCGCUCUUCUGAUUGUAUCGAGCAAUGACUGAGUUACAUCUUUGAUUCAGCAAUGAAUCAGAGAGAAUCUGUUUCAACGACAGCAAGCGUGUUGGAGAUACAUUGAACAAGCUACGAAUGACUCACGGUGGAUACCUUCGCGCACAGAGGCGAUGAA